UUGAAAAAUUUUUAUUUAAAAAGAAAAAUUUUUUUUUUGUACCUUGUGUAUCAGGGUUUAUUAAAUAAUUAAUAAUUAUUUUUAUUAUUCUCGAUUUUAUAAGAGUUAAUAAUUUACUAAAUUUAAUGUAUUAAAAUUAUUUUUAAUAAAUUAUUAGAAAUGAAAUGUUAUUCGUUUAUAAAGGUAUCUAGUUUUUUUAGAAAUAAAUUUAAUUUAUAAAUUUUUAAUUUUUUUAUUUUUUAUUAAAUAAAAAAAAUUAUUAAUUUUAAUAUUUUGAGGGAUAAGCUUUAAAAUAAAUUAUUAAAAAUUAAUUAAUUGUAAUUUAAAAUAUAUGCUUAGAAUUAGCAAUUAUUAAUAAUAUUGUUUUAAAUUAUUUUAUAGAUAUAUUAUUUAAUUAAUUUUAAUAUUUUUAUAAAAAUAUUUUUUUUAUUUAAUUAUGGAAAAUAUUAAUGAUAAAAUUAGUAUAUAAUAAUAUGUAAUAAUAAAUUUAUUUGAUAAGUUUAUAUAAAGAACUCGGCAAAUAUUAUACUCGCCUGUUUAACAAAAACAUGUCUUUUUGAGUUAUUUUUAAAGUCUGACCUGCCCAAUGAAUAAUUUUUAAUGGCCGCAGUAUUCUAACUGUGCAAAGGUAGCAUAAUCAUUAGUCUUUUAAUUGAAGGCUUGUAUGAAUGGUUGGACGAAGUAUAAACUGUUUCAUAUAAAUUUAUAAUAGAAUUUUAUUUUUUAGUAAAAAAGCUAAAAUAUUAUUAAAAGACGAGAAGACCCUAUAAAUCUUUAUAUUAUUAAGUUUUAUUUUUUUUUUGAUUUUUUAAAAUUUAAUAUUUGAUAAUAUUUUGUUGGGGUGAUAUUAAAAUUUAUUAAACUUUUAAUUUAAUUUUACAUUGAUUUAUGAUUUAUUGAUCCAUUAAUAAUGAUUAUAAGAAUAAGUUACUUUAGGGAUAACAGCGUAAUUUUUUUGGAGAGUUCUUAUCGAUAAAAAAGUUUGCGACCUCGAUGUUGGAUUAAGAGAUAUAUUUAGGUGUA
rnacentral:rRNA from 1 species